UAUAAAACGUAGAGAUCAUCUAUGCAUUCAAAUAUUCUGUGAUUCAAAUAUGUAUAUAUUUAACAUUUCUGUAUCUCUAGAAAAUAUAAUUAUUUCAUUAGAAAAUUAUUAUCUAUGUUUGAAAUACGAAUUAAUUACAUUUAUCAUUCAUAUCAUAUUAUAUACGUACUUUUAUUAUAUUAUUUAUUAUUUUUAAUUGAGAUAAUUAAUAUUUGAUUUGAUUAGCGAUGUACUUGAACUACGGGGUCCAAUUGUCUUCCUUGUUGAUGGUUCCUCGCCAUCUUGGACAUAGUUACAAGUGCACAGUGUUUCGUCGCUCCGCAUAAUUAGAAGUAAUUAGCAUAUUUUUUUUCUAACGUAGACUUAUUUCCAAUAUAUCAAUCGAUAACUUAAAGCAUAAUUUUCAAGAGGCCGCGUUGAUUAUUAAUGUAAUUGUACGCGUAAUAAUGAAUCGAACGUUGUAUCGUUUAACUAAAAUAAAAAUCGUGAAUUUGAAGCAUCCUUCAUCUGUUACUUUAAAUACGUCCAUUAUUAUAUUAAAUAAUUUUAAUUCGUCCAUGUUUCGCGAUUAAAAUUUUUGUAACAUUUGCAAUUAAAUCAACAUAAACUUAUGAUUCAUUCGUAUGAAGUAUUAUUUCUUUUUUUUUUUUUAUACGGUUACACAGACCGUUCGCGUAAUAAAUGCCAAGAUGUAAAGUAUUAAUAAGUAUGCUAUUCGUAGCUAUGACUUUAAUAUAGAUAUUGAUUUUAUAAAAAUAAAAUCAUGAAUUUAAUUGAACUUUAGGAAAGAAAAGAAUGAAAAAUUUGUGACUUACCUGCGAUACAGAUAUUUCUGAGAUACAUGUGACGUAUAUUGGGAUUGAAUGAAAUAAAGAAAAAAAUCAACGACACAAGCACGAGCUCACAUAUUUUUCAAUACUUUAUUCAUAUAAUUUUCGUAGUUACGGCAUUAUCUCUAUUUAUUUACAUGUCUCCAUUUUUGAGAAAUUUUGUAACGCGUAUGUGCGCGCACUACGGUGCGACGUGUGUUUUCUUGCGUAUGACGUGAAAAUCUAUUCGCUUUAUCCAGUCGUUCACUGUAAAAGAUACAUUGCGGGGGCGAAAAAAGAGAAAAAUGGUGAUGAAUGGUUUAACUGAGUGUGAAUAUGUGUAAUGUGUAUGUAUGUGUAUUUGUGUGCUUGUGUAUAGUAAGUAAAUUAAAUACGCGCGUAUUUACGCAACGUACUUACGUACGUUCGACGCGCCUAAUAAUGAAUUGCCAAAAGUUAUUCAUGGCGACGAGGUGAGUGACCAGGCGGAUGGGGAGGAGGGUAGAGGAUAGGGGGAUAGAGGAUAUAGGUUGGUAAGAUGCUUUUCUGCUUAAAAAUCGAAUUUCUAACGAAACGGCACAGUAGGCUUCGCCUUCACGUGUAAAAAAUCUAAAUGCAUCAUACGCCUACGUCGUAUUACAUUAUUUAUAUCCGUAUUUAAUUCACGAAAUGAUAAAGAGGCUGACUAGAGCGGUUUACAUACGAUGAAUAAACACGUUCGAUCGCUCGAACGAUCGCGAAAGAAUUACACAGCAUAUAAUAUAUACCCUUUUUCCCUCCAGUCUUUUACACACUCGAGUGCUACUAUACACAUACAUACAUACAUACAUAUAUAUAUAUUUAUAUAUAUAUAUAUGUAUAAUGUUAUAUAUAUAUGUAUAGGCGUGUAAAAAUUGUCACGAGUCAGCCAACAACAAAAAUAUGCGCGAUCGAACGGCGUCUCUCUUUCUCGCUCUCUCUCAUUCACGCAUAUACAUACUCUCUUUCUCUCUCUCUCUCUCUCUCUCUCUCUUUAUUUUUCUCUCUCGGCUCCUCUCGUCCCAGCGCGAAGCACAUGCUCUUUCUCUAUCUAAUAUUAGUGCACUCGUACGCACGAUCAACUGUACAAUGUAAAAUAUAAUUCCUGUCUACCUAAUUUAAGAGAGAAUAGGCGGAGCCGCGUGAGCGUCGUGUGUUACGCUUACUUUUCGGAUCCUCGACUCCGUAUACGUCGUCAAUAUCCUUUCUCCAUUUCCUCCUUUCAUCCUGUCGACUAAUAAUAUUACGCCAUUUUGUUUAUCAGACGAUAUCGAGGUGAGACGAAAGGGUGAAAGGUAUCGAAUUGCCAGACUCUUAAAUCGUAAUUUAAUGCGUUAAGUUAUUUAGUAGGAUAACACCUUGCUCGGUAGAUACUCUUAUAGAAGUUACAAUUGCAUUAGUAUAAACGUCGUAAUAGUUGUCGGUACAUCGAAGGAUAUGCAAAUAGAGAGUCAGAGGGCAGUGAUAACAAUAUGUAACUUUUAUCGCGAAUCGUUUAAUUUUUUUUCUGAAAUUUACUAAUUCUAAGAAAAAUCAGCGUACGCGGCAGUGGCGUACGAGCGCCGAAUAAGAUAAUAAAAACAAAAUAUCGAUGAUGGUCUUUUUUCAUUCUUUGGCUCUCCCAAAGGAAAGAGGGAGCAAAAGAAAGAACAUUUUUUUAAAUAAAUAAAUGAAUAAAUAAAUGAAUAAAUAAAUAAAUAAAUAAAUAAAUAGGUAAAUAAAUAAACAAUUAAAAUACAUACAUAUGUCUUCGCGCAAUUCCGUCGGCUCUACGGAGGGACGACGAUAUAUCGUUAAGACUGCCCGUUCGAGAUUAAAAUCGAAUGUAAUUCUAAGAAAUCGACAUCGAUUCGCUUUUUUACUUUUAUAGCUUCGGAUCGAACGAUCCGCGAAGAUGGAGGGGUUGGGGGUGGUUGGUUGGGGAAAAAGUCAGGGGCGGCAAAAACAUGCGACACGAGUACGGCGAAACUCGAUGAUAAAAGCUCGCCGAUUUUUAUUAUUAUUAUUAUUAUUAUUAUUAUUAUUAUUUUUAUUAUUAUUAUUAUUAUUAUUAUUGUGCUCUUUCUUUUCUGUUCUUUUUUCUUUUUUUCUUUUCUUUUCUUUUCUUUCUAUUUUUUUUCUUGCUUUUUUUUUCUUUUUUUCUUUUUUUUUUGUUUUCUUCAAAGCGCGAGAAGCCACCAUCGUUGUUGAAAUAUACAUUGAGGGAUGAGAUAAGCCUGAUUGCAAUUAGUUUCAUUCGAUCCACGGUCUAUGGACUUUUAAUACGAGUCGGCCGAACGCGAAUUUAAGCUUUUGUGCGUUAGAGACACAAAUAGUAGUAGUUUCAAAGGUUUCGCGUGUCAAGAUAAAAAGAUUUCGAGUUUUCGUGCUAACACGUCCCUUCCACACUUCUUUUUUCGAACAAGUAAUAGAUAAAGACAAUCGAUAGGACAAACGAUAUAUUUGUAAUAAUAAUAUUUUAACGAAUGCGAUUAUUCGUGCGUGCACUUUUUCUCAAUACUUUUCUUUACUUUCUUUCUUUCCUUCUUUCGUAGGAAUAUUAUACAUGUUUUGAGUUCACGUGUGUGCGUAUGUAUAUAUACAUAAAUAUAUACCAACAUACGUACCCACGCAUAUAUAUACAUAUAUAGACAUACACAAAUACGCUUGAUGCGUAUCCUAAUAUGUAAGACGACGCGUUCUUUAUCUGUCUCUAUCUUUUUCUUUCUCUCUCCUCCUCCUCUCUCUCUCUCUCUUUUUUGAAACAUUUUUUUUUAUUGCAAAUAAGCGCGUUCGUGCGCACAAUUAUACGUAUUUUUUCUUACAUCAAGCGCACUGUAAGAAUAUAGGGCUAUAUGGUUUCUGUCUUUUUUUUUUGUUUUUUUUUUGUGUUUUUAAAUAUUUUUCCUUACUAUACUUUCCUCCGACAAAAUACAUGUAUACCGUAUAUAUCAUAUUUUAUAUACUCGUUACUUUAAAAGGAUAUUUAAGAACACACAGCGACGAUACGAUAUUACGCGGGUACGCACGAAUAUUCCUUGUCUAGUUCAAGAAAAUAUUCAAUUUUAUUAUAACAAAAAUUCUUUUUUAACGAGCGUGGAAGGACGCGAAGAGAGGUCAUUAGACGAGAGAGAUAGUUAGUUUGAAAUACCGAGCGAUGAAUAAAAAAAAAAAAAAAAAAAAAAAAAAAAGAAAAAAAAAAUAAAUAAAUAAUCAAAAU